rnacentral:lncRNA from 1 species
UGAUAACCACAGUGAGCACCAAAGCCAAAUGCCAAAAACCAAAAAGGAUGGCAAGAAUCAACCACAGGGGACAUCAGAGGACCACAGGUGGAGGAGAAGAGGCGAAAGUGGAAGCAACACAGGUGGAAAUGCUGGGACGUGCAGCAUUCUAUACUGCAAGUAGGCCCCAUGAAACAACCCUAAGGCAAGAAAGCAUCCACUAUGCUCAGAGAACAGCAAGGUGGCCCAGUUGGGUAGAGCAGAGUGACCUGUAGGAAGAAUAAUGGAUGUCAGGAGGAUUACUCUGGAUGCUAUGCUGAGAAGAAACUGAAGACAAUGGUGGAAGUGGGAAAGCUUAUGACUCAGAAUAACUAUUUCUAAUAACAAAUUUUAAGUUCUCUUCAUGGACAUUCCCAAGGAGAGCAGCUGACACAAAUCUUCAACUCAUUGAUGAUGGCAUCUGACUGUUCCAGGUAUUAAGAAGAGAGAAAGAAUCUGAGAAAUUAUGGCGUACUCAACUGUGGACAGCUGAAAGUCUGGCAUAGCGUGCCCUCAUCAUCACAAAUGGGCUCGCAUUACAAGCUACACUUAUUUGACAACUAUCAGCAUUUGUCAACCGGCACUCAGAUUUGAAGACUCAUUUCACAGCUGGAGCAAGAGAAGACAGGAAGGAAAAAUCAGAGUAAGGUUUCAAUGAGUUUCUGCAAAUUCUCAGAAGUUUUGCUGCCAC